CCAGACUCCUACGGGAGGCAGCAGUGAGGAAUAUUGGUCAAUGGUCGGGAGACUGAACCAGCCAAGCCGCGUGAGGGAGGAAGGUACAGAGUAUCGUAAACCUCUUUUGCCGGGGAGCAAGGGCGGGGACGUGUCCCGGCCCGGAGAGUACCCGGAGAAAAAGCAUCGGCUAACUCCGUGCCAGCAGCCGCGGUAAUACGGAGGAUGCGAGCGUUAUCCGGAUUUAUUGGGUUUAAAGGGUGCGUAGGCGGGCUGUUAAGUCAGCGGUCAAAUGUCGGGGCUCAACCCCGGCCUGCCGUUGAAACUGGCGGCCUCGAGUGGGCGAGAAGUAUGCGGAAUGCGUGGUGUAGCGGUGAAAUGCAUAGAUAUCACGCAGAACUCCGAUUGCGAAGGCAGCAUACCGGCGCCCGACUGACGCUGAGGCACGAAAGCGUGGGUAUCGAACAGGAUUAGAUACCCGUGUA
rnacentral:rRNA from 1 species